rnacentral:tRNA from 1 species
GGGGCCAUACCAGUUGGGAGAGCGCCUGCCUUGCAAGCAGGAGGUCAGCGGUUCGAUCCCGCUUGGCUCCACCA